UACGUAGGGAGCAAGCGUUGUCCGGAAUCAUUGGGCGUAAAGCGCGCGUAGGCGGCCCGAUAAGUCCGCUGUGAAAGUCAACGGCUCAACUGUUGGAUGCCGGUGGAUACUGUCGGGCUAGAGUAUGGAAGAGGCAAGUGGAAUUCCUGGUGUAGCGGUGGAAUGCGCAGAUAUCAGGAGGAACACCUAUAGCGAAGGCAGCUUGCUGGGACGUUACUGACGCUAAGGCGCGAAAGCGUGGGGAGCGAACAGG
rnacentral:rRNA from 1 species